UUUGGUUUUUGUUAAGGAGUUUUGAAAGCACCUAUUAAGGGUAUCCCCCCUUAAAAG
rnacentral:tRNA from 1 species